UUUUCUACAAAUCGGAAUGAUCUGGAAUUUAGAGCAUAUGUUUAGCAAAAAUAGGCGAAUCUACGAAAAAUAUCAAAAAAAUUAUUUUACAUGAAAUAAAUUGACCAAAAUACCUCCGAAAAGUUUCAGGGGUAUUUUGGUCAAUUUUUUUUUCUCGAAUUAUUUUUUUUAUAUUUUUAUUAGGUGCUUCUCACUAAGAUGUACACACGCUUCAAAUUUCAGAUCAUUUCGAUUUGUAGAAAA
rnacentral:pre_miRNA from 1 species